UACAGAGACUGCAAGCGUUAUUCGGAUUCACUGGGCGUAAAGGGUGCGCAGGCGGCUAUGUGUGUAAGGUGUGAAAUCCCGGGGCUCAACCCCGGAACUGCGCCUUAAACUACAUGGCUAGAGUAUUGGAGAGGGUAGUGGAAUUCACGGUGUAGCAGUGAAAUGCGUAGAGAUGUGGAGGAACACCGAUGGCGAAGGCAGCCCCCUGGGUCAAGAUUGACGCUCAUGCACGAAAGCGUGGGGAGCAAACAGGAUUAGAAACCCGUGUAGU
rnacentral:rRNA from 1 species